UACAGAGGUGGCAAGCGUUGUUCGGAAUUACUGGGCGUAAAGGGCGCGUAGGCGGCUUGGUCAGUCCCGUGUGAAAUCCCCAGGCUCAACCUGGGAACUGCGUCCGAUACUGGAUGGCUUGAAUCCGGGAGAGGGAUGCAGAAUUCCAGGUGUAGCGGUGAAAUGCGUAGAUAUCUGGAGGAACACCGGUGGCGAAGGCGGCAUCCUGGACCGGUAUUGACGCUGAGGAGCGAAAGCGUGGGGAGCGAACAGG
rnacentral:rRNA from 1 species